rnacentral:rRNA from 1 species
GCCCAGCUUGCUGGGUGGAUUAGUGGCGAACGGGUGAGUAACACGUGAGUAACCUGCCCUUAACUCUGGGAUAAGCCUGGGAAACUAGGUCUAAUACCGGAUAGGAGCGCCUACCGCAUGGUGGGUGUUGGAAAGAUUUAUCGGUUGUGGAUGGAUCACCUCCUUAGCANCUUGUUGGUGAGGUAAUGGCUCACCAAGGCGACGACGGGUAGCCGGCCUGAAAGGGUGACCGGCCACACUGGGACUGAGACACGGCCCAGACUCCUACGGGAGGCAGCAGUGGGGAAUAUUGCACAAUGGGCGAAAGCCUGAUGCAGCGACGCCGCGUGAGGGAUGACGGCCUUCGGGUUGUAAACCUCUUUCAGUAGGGAAGAAGCGAAAGUGACGGUACCUGCAGAAGAAGCACCGGCUAACUACGUGCCAGCAGCCGCGGUAAUACGUAGGGUGCGAGCGUUAUCCGGAAUUAUUGGGCGUAAAGAGCUCGUAGGCGGUUUGUCGCGUCUGUCGUGAAAGUCCGGGGCUUAACCCCGGAUCUGCGGUGGGUACGGGCAGACUAGAGUGCAGUAGGGGAGACUGGAAUUCCUGGUGUAGCGGUGGAAUGCGCAGAUAUCAGGAGGAACACCGAUGGCGAAGGCAGGUCUCUGGGCUGUAACUGACGCUGAGGAGCGAAAGCAUGGGGAGCGAACAGGAUUAGAUACCCUGGUAGUCCAUGCCGUAAACGUUGGGCACUAGGUGUGGGGACCAUUCCACGGUUUCCGCGCCGCAGCUAACGCAUUAAGUGCCCCGCCUGGGGAGUACGGCCGCAAGGCUAAAACUCAAAGGAAUUGACGGGGGCCCGCACAAGCGGCGGAGCAUGCGGAUUAAUUCGAUGCAACGCGAAGAACCUUACCAAGGCUUGACAUGUUCUCGAUCGCCGUAGAGAUACGGUUUCCCCUUUGGGGCGGGUUCACAGGUGGUGCAUGGUUGUCGUCAGCUCGUGUCGUGAGAUGUUGGGUUAAGUCCCGCAACGAGCGCAACCCUCGUUCCAUGUUGCCAGCACGUAAUGGUGGGGACUCAUGGGAGACUGCCGGGGUCAACUCGGAGGAAGGUGAGGACGACGUCAAAUCAUCAUGCCCCUUAUGUCUUGGGCUUCACGCAUGCUACAAUGGCCGGUACAAUGGGUUGCGAUACUGUGAGNGUGGAGCUAAUCCCAAAAAGCCGGUCUCAGUUCGGAUUGGGGUNUNGAGUUUGAUACUGNGCUCAGGAUGAACGCUGGCGGCGUGCUUAACACAUGCAAGUCGAACGAUGAAGCCCAGCUUGCUGGGUGGAUUAGUGGCGAACGGGUGAGUAACACGUGAGUAACCUGCCCUUAACUCUGGGAUAAGCCUGGGAAACUAGG